rnacentral:rRNA from 1 species
CAAGUCAGAAAAUAAUGAAAUAGAUGAAGGACGUGGGAAAGUCCGGCAUAGAAGGUGAGACCCCUGUAGUCGAAAUUUCAUUAUCUUGUUUUUAGUAUCCCAAGUAAUACCGGACUCGUGUAAUCCGGUAUGAAUCUGGCGGGACCACCCGCUAAGCCUAAAUACUCUCUGGUGACCGAUAGUGAACAAGUACCGUGAGGGAAAGGUGAAAAGAACCCCGCAAGGGGAGUGAAAUAGAAUCUGAAACCGUUUGCAUACAAACCGUUGGAGCUGCCUUGUGCAGUGACAGCGUGCCUUUUGAAGAAUGAGUCUACGAGUUAGUGUGAUGUGGCAAGGUUAACCCGUCGAGGGGAAGCCGUAGCGAAAGCGAGUCUGAAUAGGGCGAAUAAGUUGCAUCAUCUAAACCCGAAGCGAGGUGAUCUCGCCAUGACCAGGUUGAAGCGCGGGUAAGACCGCGUGGAGGACCGAACCCACUAAAGUUGAAAAUUUAGGGGAUGAGUUGUGGCUAGGGGUGAAAGACCAAUCAAACUUCGUGAUAGCUGGUUCUCUCCGAAAUGCAUUUAGGUGCAGCGUCACGUGUUUCUUACUGGAGGUAGAGCUACUGGAUGGCCGAGGGGUCCUACAAGAUUACCAACGUCAGCCAAACUCCGAAUGCCAGUAAGUGAGAACGUGGCAGUGAGACAGUGGGGGAUAAGCUUCAUUGUCGAGAGGGAAACAACCCAGAACAGCAACUAAGGUCCCAAAGCCUGUGCUAAGUGGAAAAGGAUGUGAAGUCGCAUAGACAACCAGGAGGUUGGCUUAGAAGCAGCCACCCUUAAAAGAGUGCGUAAUAGCUCACUGGUCAAGUGAUUUCGCGCCGACAAUGUAACGGGGCUCAAGCACAGCACCGAAGUUCUGUCAUUCACACACUAUCCCGGUCGCAAGAUCCAGGAGUGUGGAUGGGUAGGAGAGCGUUGUGUAACUAGUGAAGCGGCGGAGGAAUCCAGCCGUGGAAGUUACACAAGUGAGAAUGUAGACAUGAGUAGCGAAAGACGGGUGAGAAACCCGUCCACCGAAUGACCAAGGGUUCCUGAGCCAGGCUAAUCCGCUCAGGGUAAGUCGGGUCCUAAGGCGAGGCCGACAGGCGUAGUCGAUGGACAACUGGUUGAUAUUCCAGUACCCGCAAUAAACCGUCCAUGACGAAUCAAUAAUGCUAAGUGUUUGAAGUUGGCUAGCAAUAGCUGAUGGAGCGCACGACCCAAGUUGGUAGUAGUCAAGCAAUGGAGAGACGCAGGAAGGUAGUCCAACCCAGGCGAUGGUUGACCUGGGGUAAGAGUGUAGGAGGUUCUGUAGGAAAAUCCGCAGAACAAUCUCUGAGACUUAAUGCCGAGCCGUAAGGCGAAGUGGAUGAUCCUAUGCUGCCAAGAAAAUCUUCUAGCGAGGUUUGUAGUGGCCCGUACCCGAAACCGACACAGGUGGUCAGGUAGAGAAUACCAAGGUGAUCGAGAGAAUCGUGGUGAAGGAACUCGGCAAAAUACCCCCGUAACUUCGGGAGAAGGGGGGCUAAUUUUUGUGUAGAGGUUUACCUUCGAAGCAUAAGUUAGACGCAGAGAAUAGGCUCAAGCGACUGUUUACCAAAAACACAGGUCCGUGCGAAGUUGCAAAACGAUGUAUACGGACUGACGCCUGCCCGGUGCUGGAAGGUUAAGGGGACUGGUUAGCCGCAAGGCGAAGCUGAGAACUUAAGCCCCAGUAAACGGCGGUGGUAACUAUAACCAUCCUAAGGUAGCGAAAUUCCUUGUCGGGUAAGUUCCGACCUGCACGAAUGGCGUAACGACUUGAGCGCUGUCUCCACCAUGAACUCGGCGAAAUUGCAUUACGAGUAAAGAUGCUCGUUACGCGCGGAAAGACGGAAAGACCCCGGGACCUUUACUAUAUCUUGAUAUUGGUACUCGGAACGUUCUGUGUAGCAUAGGUGGGAGACUUUGAAGCGGCACGCCAGUGUUCGUGGAGUCAAAAAAUGAAAUACCACUCUGAACGUUUUGAGUUUCUAACCUCGGCCCAUUAUCUGGGUCAGGGACAGUGUCUGGUGGGUAGUUUAACUGGGGCGGUUGCCUCCCAAAAAGUAACGGAGGCGCUCAAAGGUUCCCUCAGCCUGGUUGGUAAUCAGGUGUCGAGUGUAAGUGCACAAGG